rnacentral:misc_RNA from 1 species
AAGUCGUAACAAGGUUUCCGUAGGUGAACCUGCGGAAGGAUCAUUACAAGAAUCGAGGCUGACGGUGCCUGCCGGGAAUUUGUGCGCCCGUGCUAGGUUGCGUCCGGCCCCGCUCCUUACCUUGCCUACUGCACCGUUUGUUGCUUCCUGGCGGUGGGACACCGCCGCCAGGAUCCUUCUAAAAGUCUUGUAUAUAAGCAUUGAAAACCCUGAUAUACACUAAAUCGUACAACUUUCAACAAUGGAUCUCUUGGUUCUG